rnacentral:tRNA from 1 species
GUGCUGUUAGUUCAACGGAGAAUGCUUGAUUGUGACUCAAGUGAUUAGGGUUCGAGUCCCUGCAGCACCCCA